UUAAAAACUUUUUAAGGGUAAAGAAUUCCUUUAUGUCAGAUAAAACUCACAAACGAUGUUUUGUUCCAGAACACUUUCAAUAUGUUUUCUCUGUUUUAUUAGCUGUAUCUAUUUGGUAUCUGGAGCUUUCAUGGUAUAUUUGGAGACAAUCUCCUACACCAUCUUUUCCAAAUACUAUGAGACCGAAAACUAUUCAACUUCUCCUGCAUUGUUCACAGUAGCCAGUUUGAUUAUAUUAAUCCUUCCUUUCCUAGGUUGCUGUUGGAUCUAUAGAAAGGAGGUGUGCAUACUUAAGGCGUUUGCUUUUUUCAUUUCCAUUACUUUUGUCCUGAACGUAGCAGGAGGAAUAACAGGUUUUGUCUACAAGAAAAAUGUAAGUAAAGCA